UACGAGAGGCCCAAACGUUAUUCGGAUUUACUGGGCUUAAAGAGUUCGUAGGCGGCGCAGAAAGUAGGGUGUGAAAGCCCUCGGCUCAACCGAGGAAUUGCGCCCUAAACUACUGUGCUCGAGGGACCUAGAGGUGAGCAGAACUGAUGGUGGAGCGGUGAAAUGCGUUGAUAUCUACAGGAACUCCGGUGGCGAAAGCGGCGUGCUGGACCUUUUCUGACGCUGAGGCGCGAAAGCUAGGGGAGCAAACGGG
rnacentral:rRNA from 1 species